AUAUGGAAACUGAGGCUCACAUAUGCAAGAGUACAAAGAAGAAAGGAAGGAAGAAAAACCUCUCCAGAACAGUGUCUAUAUGAUGUCAGAUAAAUGCUGUUGCCAUUGACGGAGAUGAAGAUUUGGAGAAGAGGUUCAAGCCCACCCAUUGCUGCCUAGGGACAAAUCAGCAUACAAUUCCUCUCCUCUGAAGCCCAUAAGAGCCUCAGAUUCAGCCAGACUCAGAGAGACAAUGGGAUGACCUGCCUGCAGAGAGGAACUACCCGCUUUGGGUCUCCGCUCUGCUGAGAGCUGCACUAGUCAGGGUGACCUGCAUACAUAAAGGAGCUACAUACUUUGGGUCUUCUGAGAACUGUACUGUUGUUCAAUAAAGCAUUUCUUCACCUGCU